AAAACAAAGCAAACGGUUGAGAAAUUCCAGACGUCGGAGAGAUGGAUGGAGAUAUGGAGGCUCUCAAUCCCGAUUUGGAUAUGGCUGCCGCCGAUGAUGAUGCGGUUAAGGAGUUGGAUGAGAUGAAGAAACGAUUGAAGGAGAUGGAGGACGAAGCUGCUGCUCUACGUGAGAUGCAGGUUAAGGUCGAGAAGGAAAUGGCAGCCCAAGGUUUUCGUCUCUUUGAUUUCGUUUUGCUGUGACCCUCCUUUUGCCUGACUUGUCUCAGUUGAAAAACUGCAUGAACUAGUUUGCUACUACUAGACUUCUUCUCUUUUACAGUUAUUUGACUCAUUUAAGAUUUCUUAUCAGUAUGUUAUUGAUUUUUUUUCCUAA